CCAUAGCGGAGGAAAAGAAACCAACCGGGAUUGCCUUAGUAACGGCGAGUGAAGCGGCAAAAGCUCAAAUUUGAAAUCUGGUACCUUCGGUGCCCGAGUUGUAAUUUGGAGAGGGCAACUUUGGGGCCGUUCCUUGUCUAUGUUCCUUGGAACAGGACGUCAUAGAGGGUGAGAAUCCCGUGUGGCGAGGAGUGCGGUUCUUUGUAAAGUGCCUUCGAAGAGUCGAGUUGUUUGGGAAUGCAGCUCUAAGUGGGUGGUAAAUUCCAUCUAAAGCUAAAUAUUGGCGAGAGACCGAUAGCGAACAAGUACAGUGAUGGAAAGAUGAAAAGAACUUUGAAAAGAGAGUGAAAAAGUACGUGAAAUUGUUGAAAGGGAAGGGCAUUUGAUCAGACAUGGUGUUUUGUGCCCUCUGCUCCUUGUGGGUAGGGGAAUCUCGCAUUUCACUGGGCCAGCAUCAGUUUUGGUGGCAGGAUAAAUCCAUAGGAAUGUAGCUUGCCUCGGUAAGUAUUAUAGCCUGUGGGAAUACUGCCAGCUGGGACUGAGGACUGCGACGUAAGUCAAGGAUGCUGCAUAAUGUUACCCC
rnacentral:rRNA from 1 species